rnacentral:rRNA from 1 species
UACGAAGGGGGCUAGCGUUGUUCGGAAUUACUGGGCGUAAAGCGCACGUAGGCGGAUACUUAAGUCAGGGGUGAAAUCCCGGGGCUCAACCCCGGAACUGCCUUUGAUACUGGGUAUCUGGAGUCCGGAAGAGGUGAGUGGAAUUCCGAGUGUAGAGGUGAAAUUCGUAGAUAUUCGGAGGAACACCAGUGGCGAAGGCGGCUCACUGGUCCGGUACUGACGCUGAGGCACGAAAGCGUGGGGAUCAAACAGG